rnacentral:rRNA from 1 species
AUUGAACGCUGGCGGCAGGCCUAACACAUGCAAGUCGAACGAGUGGCGGACGGGUGAGUAAUGUCUGGGAAACUGCCUGAUGGAGGGGGAUAACUCCUGGAAACGGUAGCUAAUACCGCAUACCAUCAGAUGUGCCCAGAUGGGAUUAGCUAGUUGGUGGGGUAACGGCUCACCAAGGCGACGAUCCCUAGCUGUUCUGAGAGGAUGACCAGCCGUAAGGGAACUGAGAAACGGUCCAGACUCCUACGGUAGGCAGCAGUGGGGAAUAGUGCACUAGGGGCGCAAGCCGGAUGCAGCCAUGCCGAGGGUAGGAAGAAGGCCUUCGGGUUGUAAAGGACUUUCAGCGGGGAGGCGUUACCCGCAGAAGAAGCACCGGCUAACUCCGUGCCAGCAGCCGCGGUAAUAC